UGGGAUAUAACUCAGUGGUAGAGUGUCACCUUGACGUGGUGAAAGUCAUCAGUUUGAGUUUGAUUAUUGCUA
rfam:Capsicum annuum cultivar Zunla-1 unplaced genomic scaffold scaffold1670, whole genome shotgun sequence